CGCAGCGGUGACAGAACUUUGAAUACACCAGUUUCCGGACAGUGAAGUUAAGAAACAUUGUGCGUGGUUGGUAUCCGAAUGGGUGACCAACUUGAGCAAUCAUGUGCUGCUUAGC
rnacentral:rRNA from 1 species